rnacentral:rRNA from 1 species
AGAGUUUGAUCCUGGCUCAGGAUGAACGCUAGCGGCAGGCCUAACACAUGCAAGUCGAGGGGUAACAGGAAUAGCUUGCUAUUUGCUGACGACCGGCGCACGGGUGCGGAACGCGUAUGGAACCUGCCCCUGUCAGGGGAAUAGCCCAGAGAAAUUUGGAUUAAUGCCCCAUGGUAUCGAAUCACCGCAUGGUGAUUUGAUUAAAGAUUUAUCGGACAGGGAUGGCCAUGCGUACCAUUAGCUUGUUGGUGAGGUAACGGCUCACCAAGGCAACGAUGGUUAGGGGCCCUGAGAGGGGGAUCCCCCACACUGGUACUGAGACACGGACCAGACUCCUACGGGAGGCAGCAGUGAGGAAUAUUGGACAAUGGCCGAAAGGUUGAUCCAGCCAUGCCGCGUGCAGGAUGACGGCCCUAUGGGUUGUAAACUGCUUUUACAUGGGAAGAAACCUCCCCUCGUGAGGGGAGCUGACGGUACCAUGAGAAUAAGGACCGGCUAACUCCGUGCCAGCAGCCGCGGUAAU